rnacentral:rRNA from 1 species
CUUACGGGGGGCUGCAGUCGAGAAUCUUCGGCAAUGGGCGCAAGCCUGACCGAGCGACGCCGCGUGCGGGAUGAAGGCCUUCGGGUUGUAAACCGCUGUCGAGGGGAAUGAAGUGCAGGUGGGUUCUCCCAUCUGUUUGACAGAUCCCUGGAGGAAGCAUGGGCUAAGUUCGUGCCAGCAGCCGCGGUAAGACGAACCAUGCAAACGUUAUUCGGAUUCACUGGGCAUAAAGCGUGGUUAGUCGGGCUUGAAAGCCCUCAGCCCAACUGAGGAAGUGCGCUUGAUACUGCAUGACUAGAGAAUGAUAGAGGUGGGUGGAACUGAUGGUGGAGCGGUGAAAUGCGUUGAUAUCAUCAGGAACACCAGUGGCGAAGGCGACCCACUGGGUCAUUUCUGACGCUGAGGUACGAAAGCUAGGGUAGCGAACGGGAUUAGAUACCCUAGUAGUC